rnacentral:rRNA from 1 species
ACGACUCUCGGCAACGGAUAUCUCGGCUCUCGCAUCGAUGAAGAACGCAGCGAAAUGCGAUACUUGGUGUGAAUUGCAGAAUCCCGUGAACCAUCGAGUUUUUGAACGCAAGUUGCGCCCGAAGCCUUUUGGCCGAGGGCACGUCUGCCUGGGUGUCACGCAACAU